rnacentral:rRNA from 1 species
AUACGGAGGGUGCAAGCGUUAUCCGGAAUCAUUGGGUUUAAAGGGUCCGUAGGCGGACUAUUAAGUCAGAGGUGAAAUCCCACAGCUCAACUGUGGAACUGCCUUUGAUACUGGUAGUCUUGAGUUAUAUGGAAGUAGAUAGAAUGUGUAGUGUAGCGGUGAAAUGCAUAGAUAUUACACAGAAUACCGAUCGCGAAGGCAGUCUACUACGUAUAUACUGACGCUAAGGGACGAAAGCGUGGGGAGCGAACAGGAUUAGAAACCCCAGUAGUCC